rnacentral:lncRNA from 7 species
AUUGGUGGUAGUAGUGAAAAGGAGAUGCAAAUGGAAAAAAAUGUUUCUUAUGGCAAGCUAAAAGUCUAAACAUUUUACUAGCAGCAUAGAUUUCCUGAUGUGUGGUUAUGUUCUUAUGGAGCUCACCAGGUGAUACCUUUUCCAUGUUAAUAGUUUGGAUGUCACCAUCUGCUUGCUAUGACUUUGUGUGACAUAGUGUACACCUCUGCUUCAGAGCUGGGGAGGUCAUGGGUCUGUGUCUCGUCUGCCAUGUGCUUGUGGUGGAUUUGUCACCAUGGUCAGCCUAAUCUCGAGUUUCAGAGAAAUAACUUCAGAGUGUCAGAAUAUGAUUCACACACCAACAUAGAGCUCUGUAGCCUCCAACCUUAACCCAAUUCAUCGUGUGGCUCUUACCAGUUCUCAAGCCUUAGUAAUUUAACCUGAUUCACCUAAUUCAAAAUCUGAAUAGUUGUAGCUUCUAUACUGUGGGCAAAUAUACUGCUGGAAGGUGGAAAGGAUAGAGCAAGAUGUGGAGGAGACUGUAGUAUGUCCUAACUGCUCAAUUUUAUGCUCUGAAGCGAGUACUAGAACAGUUGCUGUCUUGUGUAUGGUAAUUAUGGACAUGGUUUUUCGUUUUAUGAAAAAUAGAAAGCAUGACAUAAAAUCAUCAUUGCACCAGUGCUGUAGAGUCUCAUGCUUAGGCUGUCUCUUUCUAAAUUUGGCCCUGCAUGAAAGGGAAUAUCUUUGACCCAUUCAAGCAAGUAAUAAGGAGAGUUCUAUUUUUCUUUAGUAUAGGGUUUUAAGGUUGUUAGACUAUUUUUGAAAACUGCUUUAAUUGUCAGUGGAGGGUUAUUAAGAAUUGAGUCACUUAACUUUAUAUACUAUUCCUUUCCAUUCUUAAUUUUGAAUAUGCACUUUUCCCAGUGGCAACAUAUUUCUGUGCUUCUGCAUGGGAAAUCAGCUUUUCUGGUUUUAUAAGUUUUCUCAGUGCAUCUCAUACCACUAUCUAGUGGUAAUUGGGACAGAAUAGGUAAUAGGAAUGAAUUGAUUGGAAGUUUUAUGAGAAGGUCUGAUAUAUGGAUUUAUAAUUUCAUUUGAAGUCAGUGGGGAAAAUAUAUGCUAACUAAUGCUGAGUUUGAUUCCACAGGCUCUGUGCUUUUGGAUGCCCAUCACAGCAGAGUCAAAGGUCUUAAAUGUAUUCCAGUGGAGAAUAUGGGCCAAAAAUGGCCACUUAGAUCAGAGUACUGUCCUCUAUGAAUGUACACAACCACUUAAUAGAUAUUUAGUCCUCAAAUUGCGCUCUCCACUGCAGAUCAUUUCCUAACAGCCUGUAUGGAACCUAGGAUCUACCUUACAAAAUACUAAAAGUUGCAAAAUCUGUGCAGCAUUGCAGGAAAAAGGUGGAGGAGAUUAAAAGCAUUACUGGUGACUUAGAUCCUUGUAAUAAUGGAGAAUUGAGUAACUGAAAAUGUGAUCUCAGGACAGAACCCUGUUUGCACUUUUAGAGUGGAAGGCAGUCCCUGACCGAAAUUGUUCUACCCUAGGACACAUUGCAUCCUCAUCCCAAUAUAUUCUGAUUCAGAGAAUAUAACCUUUUCAAAGUAUAUUAGUUUAGCUAGCUGCACUAGCAUUAAGAAAUGAUCUGCCAAAGUUCUGUCUAGAAAGAAAGGGACCAUCUACCUAUUAUCUGUACAUGGAAGUUUCAGCUGUCAGUGCCAUCUACUUAUUAUCUAUACAUGGAAUUUUCAGCUGUCAGUGAUGCUAUGACAAAAGGUGCAUAUGGGGAGUGUGCAGAAUAUAUGCAUGUGUGCUCUUUCUACUGUUUCUGAUAUUUUUUGACCUUCAUGGUUUUUCAGAAUGUUUUUAAGGCUAACAUGCUGUGGCAGAAGCACACCCGUAGCUUCUAGAGAGCGAUUUACCACUGGAUGGCACUGUAGUCCUUAGUGCUCAUAGUAAUCACAGCUCUGAAAGAAUGUUUUACUGUAGAGAUAGCAAAUCUGAGUUUGGAGUCACCUUCACUUCAAUAUUCUAGAGCUACAGAAUGAGACUUCUUCACCUUCAUUAUUUCUGAAGGAGACUCGAGGGUCUGGAACUGCACUUCUCCAGAGUGUUACCUCUCCAGUUUCUUGGUAAAUUGUUGUGUCAACUGAACUUCAGUCCUGGAAGAAGUGUGUUAUGAUUGAAGAGUCAGAUUCUUGCCUCAGUUAUGUUGAUGAAAAUUCAGAAGUUAAUGGAGCAGUUCUGAUUUACACCAAUAUCUCACACUGCUGCAACAUCUGGUCGCACAUUAUGGUUCAAUAAAGAAAGAUAAACU